rnacentral:rRNA from 1 species
GUGGGGAAUAUUGGACAAUGGGGGCAACCCUGAUCCAGCCAUGCCGCGUGAAUGAUGAAGGCCUUCGGGUUGUAAAGUUCUUUUGGAGGGGACGAUGAUGACGGUACCCUCAGAAUAAGCUCCGGCUAACUUCGUGCCAGCAGCCGCGGUAAUACGAAGGGAGCUAGCGUUGUUCGGAAUUACUGGGCGUAAAGGGCGCGUAGGCGGUUUGGUUAGUCAGAUGUGAAAGCCCAGGGCUUAACCCUGGAACUGCGUUUGAUACUGCCAAGCUUGAAUUCGGGAGAGGUGGGUGGAAUUCCCAGUGUAGAGGUGAAAUUCGUAGAUAUUCGGAGGAACACCAGUGGCGAAGGCGGCUCACUGGCUCGAUACUGACGCUGAGGUGCGAAAGCGUGGGGAGCAAACAGGAUUAGAAACCCCAGUAGUCC